rnacentral:snRNA from 1 species
GGAUGUGAGGGCGAUCUGGCUGCGACAUCUGUCACCCCACUCAUCGCCAGGGUUGAUGUGGCUGAUCUGCCUGGCUCAGCGGGUGUCCCCUUCCUCCCUAACCGCUCCAUGUGUACCUCUCCCGAAGCUGGGCACUCAGUUGAAGAGGAUGAUCAUCCCCGAUAGAGGAGGACCAGCCUUUGUUCAAGGGUAUACGAGUAGCUGCACUCCCCCGCUAGAACCUCCAAACAAGCUCUCAAGGUCCAGAGACAUGAUGUGAACUCCAGGUCUUAGUUGAUGAUCACGUGGCUGUGCAGUGGUGCAGAUUGUGUCUUUGA